AUACGUAGGGGGCGAGCGUUGUCCGGAAUGAUUGGGCGUAAAGGGCGCGUAGGCGGCCCGGUAAGUCUGGAGUGAAAGUCCUGUUUUUAAGAUGGGAAUUGCUUUGGAUACUGUCGGGCUUGAGUGCAGGAGAGGUAAGUGGAAUUCCUAGUGGAGCGGUAAAAUGCGCAGAUAUUAGGAAGAACACCGGUGGCGAAGGCGGCUAUCUGGACAGUAACUGACGCUGAGGCGCGAAAGCGUGGGGAGCAAACAGGAUUAGAUACCCUGGUAGUCCACGCCAUAAACGAUGAAUACUAGGUGUAGGGGGUAUCGACUCCCUCUGUGCCGCAGUUAACACAAUAAGUAUUCCGCCUGGGGAGUACGGCCGCAAGGUUGAAACUCAAAUGAAUUGGCGGGG
rnacentral:rRNA from 1 species